GGAGCCUGGCAACAAGAGCAAAACUCCAUCUCAAAAAAAAAAAGAAAGAAAAGAAAGCUGGAGCUGGUGGCUUAGGCCAUCACCCUUCCCUUGGCUGGAACUACUGGACAGACCCUUUUGAGAUGUGCCUGUGGUGCUGUGGAGAUGUGUGUAGUGGUCUUAGCUCUUUGUUGAGCUUGUGUGUGUGUUGUGUAGUCUUAGCUGUAUGCUGAAAUUGGACGUGUGUUGGAGGGCUUCUUAGCUCUUUGGUGAGAUUGUAUUUCUAUGUGUUUGUAUCAGCUGAAUGUUGCUGGAAAUAAAACCUUGGUUUGUCAAGGCUCUUUUUUGUGGGAAGUAAGUAGGGGAAAAGUUCUUUGAGGGU
rnacentral:lncRNA from 1 species